UUAAGCGACUAAGCGUACACGGUGGAUGCCCUGGCAGUCAGAGGCGAUGAAGGACGUGCUAAUCUGCGAUAAGCGUCGGUAAGGUGAUAUGAACCGUUAUAACCGGCGAUUUCCGAAUGGGGAAACCCAGUGUGUUUCGACACACUAUCAUUAACUGAAUCCAUAGGUUAAUGAGGCGAACCGGGGGGAACUGAAACAUCUAAGUACCCCGAGGAAAAGAAAUCAACCGAGAUUCCCCCAGUAGCGGCGAGCGAACGGGGAGCAGCCCAGAGCCUGAAUCAGUGUGUGUGUUAGUGGAAGCGUCUGGAAAGGCGCGCGAUACAGGGUGACAGCCCCGUACACAAAAAUGCACAUACUGUGAGCUCGAUGAGUAGGGCGGGACACGUGGUAUCCUGUCUGAAUAUGGGGGGACCAUCCUCCAAGGCUAAAUACUCCUGACUGACCGAUAGUGAACCAGUACCGUGAGGGAAAGGCGAAAAGAACCCCGGCGAGGGGAGUGAAAAAGAACCUGAAACCGUGUACGUACAAGCAGUGGGAGCCUCUUAAUGGGGUGACUGCGUACCUUUUGUAUAAUGGGUCAGCGACUUAUAUUCUGUAGCAAGGUUAACCGAAUAGGGGAGCCGAAGGGAAACCGAGUCUUAACUGGGCGUUAAGUUGCAGGGUAUAGACCCGAAACCCGGUGAUCUAGCCAUGGGCAGGUUGAAGGUUGGGUAACACUAACUGGAGGACCGAACCGACUAAUGUUGAAAAAUUAGCGGAUGACUUGUGGCUGGGGGUGAAAGGCCAAUCAAACCGGGAGAUAGCUGGUUCUCCCCGAAAGCUAUUUAGGUAGCGCCUCGUGAAUUCAUCUCCGGGGUAGAGCACUGUUUCGGCAAGGGGGUCAUCCCGACUUACCAACCCGAUGCAAACUGCGAAUACCGGAGAAUGUUAUCACGGGAGACACACGGCGGGUGCUAACGUCCGUCGUGAAGAGGGAAACAACCCAGACCGCCAGCUAAGGUCCCAAAGUCAUGGUUAAGUGGGAAACGAUGUGGGAAGGCCCAGACAGCCAGGAUGUUGGCUUAGAAGCAGCCAUCAUUUAAAGAAAGCGUAAUAGCUCACUGGUCGAGUCGGCCUGCGCGGAAGAUGUAACGGGGCUAAACCAUGCACCGAAGCUGCGGCAGCGACACUAUGUGUUGUUGGGUAGGGGAGCGUUCUGUAAGCCUGUGAAGGUGUACUGUGAGGUAUGCUGGAGGUAUCAGAAGUGCGAAUGCUGACAUAAGUAACGAUAAAGCGGGUGAAAAGCCCGCUCGCCGGAAGACCAAGGGUUCCUGUCCAACGUUAAUCGGGGCAGGGUGAGUCGACCCCUAAGGCGAGGCCGAAAGGCGUAGUCGAUGGGAAACAGGUUAAUAUUCCUGUACUUGGUGUUACUGCGAAGGGGGGACGGAGAAGGCUAUGUUGGCCGGGCGACGGUUGUCCCGGUUUAAGCGUGUAGGCUGGUUUUCCAGGCAAAUCCGGAAAAUCAAGGCUGAGGCGUGAUGACGAGGCACUACGGUGCUGAAGCAACAAAUGCCCUGCUUCCAGGAAAAGCCUCUAAGCAUCAGGUAACAUCAAAUCGUACCCCAAACCGACACAGGUGGUCAGGUAGAGAAUACCAAGGCGCUUGAGAGAACUCGGGUGAAGGAACUAGGCAAAAUGGUGCCGUAACUUCGGGAGAAGGCACGCUGAUAUGUAGGUGAAGUCCCUUGCGGAUGGAGCUGAAAUCAGUCGAAGAUACCAGCUGGCUGCAACUGUUUAUUAAAAACACAGCACUGUGCAAACACGAAAGUGGACGUAUACGGUGUGACGCCUGCCCGGUGCCGGAAGGUUAAUUGAUGGGGUUAGCGGUAACGCGAAGCUCUUGAUCGAAGCCCCGGUAAACGGCGGCCGUAACUAUAACGGUCCUAAGGUAGCGAAAUUCCUUGUCGGGUAAGUUCCGACCUGCACGAAUGGCGUAAUGAUGGCCAGGCUGUCUCCACCCGAGACUCAGUGAAAUUGAACUCGCUGUGAAGAUGCAGUGUACCCGCGGCAAGACGGAAAGACCCCGUGAACCUUUACUAUAGCUUGACACUGAACAUUGAGCCUUGAUGUGUAGGAUAGGUGGGAGGCUUUGAAGUGUGGACGCCAGUCUGCAUGGAGCCGGCCUUGAAAUACCACCCUUUAAUGUUUGAUGUUCUAACGUUGGCCCCUGAUCGGGGUUGCGGACAGUGUCUGGUGGGUAGUUUGACUGGGGCGGUCUCCUCCUAAAGAGUAACGGAGGAGCACGAAGGUUGGCUAAUCCUGGUCGGACAUCAGGAGGUUAGUGCAAUGGCAUAAGCCAGCUUGACUGCGAGCGUGACGGCGCGAGCAGGUGCGAAAGCAGGUCAUAGUGAUCCGGUGGUUCUGAAUGGAAGGGCCAUCGCUCAACGGAUAAAAGGUACUCCGGGGAUAACAGGCUGAUACCGCCCAAGAGUUCAUAUCGACGGCGGUGUUUGGCACCUCGAUGUCGGCUCAUCACAUCCUGGGGCUGAAGUAGGUCCCAAGGGUAUGGCUGUUCGCCAUUUAAAGUGGUACGCGAGCUGGGUUUAGAACGUCGUGAGACAGUUCGGUCCCUAUCUGCCGUGGGCGCUGGAGAACUGAGGGGGGCUGCUCCUAGUACGAGAGGACCGGAGUGGACGCAUCACUGGUGUUCGGGUUGUCAUGCCAAUGGCACUGCCCGGUAGCUAAAUGCGGAAGAGAUAAGUGCUGAAAGCAUCUAAGCACGAAACUUGCCCCGAGAUGAGUUCUCCCUGACUCUUUAAGGGUCCUGAAGGAACGUUGAAGACGACGACGUUAAUAGGCCGGGUGUGUAAGCGCAGCGAUGCGUUGAGCUAACCGGUACUAAUGAACCGUGAGGCUUAACCU
rnacentral:rRNA from 1 species